UGGGGAAUAUUGCACAAUGGAGGAAACUCUGAUGCAGCGAUGCCGCGUGAGGGAAGAAGGUUUUCGGAUUGUAAACCUCUGUGUACAGGGACGAUAAUGACGGUACCUGUUCAGAAAGCUCCGGCUAACUACGUGCCAGCAGCCGCGGUAAUACGUAGGGAGCGAGCGUUGUCCGGAAUUACUGGGUGUAAAGGGAGUGUAGGCGGGACGGCAAGUCAGAUGUGAAAUUUAGGGGCUCAACCCCUGACCUGCAUUUGAAACUGCUGUUCUUGAGUGAAGUAGAGGUAAGCGGAAUUCCUAGUGUAGCGGUGAAAUGCGUAGAUAUUAGGAGGAACAUCAGUGGCGAAGGCGGCUUACUGGGCUUUAACUGACGCUGAGGCUCGAAAGCGUGGGGAGCAAACAGGAUUAGAUACCCUGGUAGUCCACGCCGUAAACGAUGAUUACUAGGUGUGGGGGGACUGACCCCUUCCGUGCCGCAGUUAACACAAUAAGUAAUCCACCUGGGGAGUACGGUCGCAAGACUGAAACUCAAAGGAAUUGACGGGGGCCCGCACAAGCAGUGGAGUAUGUGGAUUAAUUCGAAGCAACGCGAAGAACCUUACCAGGUCUUGACAUCGAUCGAAUCCGAAAGAGAUUUUGGAGUGCCCUUCGGGGAACGUGAAGACAGGUGGUGCAUGGUUGUCGUCAGCUCGUGUCGUGAGAUGUUGGGUUAAGUCCCGCAACGAGCGCAACCCUUAUGUUUAGUUGCUACGCAAGAGCACUCUAGACAGACUGCCGUUGACAAAACGGAGGAAGGUGGGGAUGACAUCAAAUCAUCAUGCCCCUUAUGACCUGGGCCUCACACGUACUACAAUGGCUGUAAACAGAGGGAAGCUAAGCAGUGAUGUGGAGCAAAUCCCCAAAAGCAGUCUUAGUUCGGAUUGUAGGCCGCAACCCGCCUACAUGAAGUCGGAAUUGCUAGUAAUCGCGGAUCAGCAUGCCGCGGUGAAUACGUUCCC
rnacentral:rRNA from 1 species